GCAUGGAUCUAAGCUUGUAGAUGGCCGGCGAGUAUGACAGGAUGAAUCUGCAGGAAGAGCAGAAUAGGGAAGCUCACCUCAAAAUUUGAUUAGAGGCUGAGAGCUCGGAUGCUCAGAGAAAGCUUGGAGUGACACGAGCUUCGAGGAAGAAGCUCGGAGUGACACGAGCUCGGAGGAAGAGCACUUGCGGCUGGCUCAAGGCAUGAUGGUGACCAGGAAGCC
rnacentral:lncRNA from 1 species